AACUCAGUUAUCUGUCAUUGUGUUAAUUUUUUUUAAUAUUUAGUUUGUGUCCCUCUACUUUAGAUGACUUGACUGAUGACUUGUGCCCUCCACCACCGUGGGGCUUAAUUUCCGACAGAAGUAUCUGAGGGAAGAUCCCCGAGGGGAGGGGGCAUCUUUGCUGUAACACGUUUGGCCAGAAGAUGGCAUUAGUGAGCUGCUGUGCAGCUCAGAUCCACAGACAAGUUCUGACCGUAUCUGCUGAUGCUGCGUGGGAAGCUGGCCGAGGAAGGGAUGAUGAAAGAAGACAUCUGUUUGGGUACCAAGGCCACCACACAGCGGUCAGACACCUGAGAGACAAGAGGUGCAGAAAUGUUAGUCAAAAUAAUCAUGGCAGGAAUUUAGAUUAUUAAUUUAGAAAAUAAAUUAAUAUUUUGCCUAAAUGUAGAAAAAGUGUUUAAAACAUGAAUGAGUCUG